rnacentral:rRNA from 1 species
GACGAACGCUGGCGGCGUGCUUAACACAUGCAAGUCGAACGGAAAGGCCCUGCUUUUGUGGGGUGCUCGAGUGGCGAACGGGUGAGUAACACGUGAGUAACCUGCCCUUGACUUUGGGAUAACUUCAGGAAACUGGGGCUAAUACCGGAUAGGAGCUCCUGCUGCAUGGUGGGGGUUGGAAAGUUUCGGCGGUUGGGGAUGGACUCGCGGCUUAUCAGCUUGUUGGUGGGGUAGUGGCUUACCAAGGCUUUGACGGGUAGCCGGCCUGAGAGGGUGACCGGGAGCGUCGGAGGUGGAGCGCGGGCGUGAGUGGUGGGGGAGGCAGGAGUGUGGAAGGAUGGAGAGUGGGGGGCGGGGGGAGGCAGCAGCGGGGGGGGGUGGAGGACGGCCUGGGGGUUGGAACCGGAGGGGGCCGUGGAUGAAGGGUGAGUGGAGGUAAGAGAGAAUGAAGACGCGAAAAAAUGCGUGCCGGCAGGGGGGGUAAUAGUAGAAGAGCACAUGCAUAAAC